AGUGGCGGACGGGUGAGUAACGCGUAAGAAUCUAACUUCAGGACGGGGACAACAGUGGGAAACGACUGCUAAUACCCGAUGUGCCGCGAGGUGAAACCUAAUUGGCCUGAAGAAGAGCUUGCGUCUGAUUAGCUAGUUGGUGGGGUAAGAGCCUACCAAGGCGACGAUCAGUAGCUGGUCUGAGAGGAUGAGCAGCCACACUGGGACUGAGACACGGCCCAGACUCCUACGGGAGGCAGCAGUGGGGAAUUUUCCGCAAUGGGCGAAAGCCUGACGGAGCAACGCCGCGUGAGGGAGGAAGGUCUUUGGAUUGUAAACCUCUUUUCUCAAGGAAGAAGUUCUGACGGUACUUGAGGAAUCAGCCUCGGCUAACUCCGUGCCAGCAGCCGCGGUAAUACGGGGGAGGCAAGCGUUAUCCGGAAUUAUUGGGCGUAAAGCGUCCGCAGGUGGUCAGCCAAGUCUGCCGUCAAAUCAGGUUGCUUAACGACCUAAAGGCGGUGGAAACUGGCAGGCUAGAGAGCAGUAGGGGUAGCAGGAAUUCCCAGUGUAGCGGUGAAAUGCGUAGAGAUUGGGAAGAACAUCGGUGGCGAAAGCGUGCUACUGGGCUGUAUCUGACACUCAGGGACGAAAGCUAGGGGAGCGAAAGGGAUUAGAUACCCCUGUAGUCCUAGCCGUAAACGAUGGAUACUAGGCGUGGCUU
rnacentral:rRNA from 1 species